rnacentral:miRNA from 2 species
UGUCAUGGAGUUGCUCUCUUGA